rnacentral:rRNA from 1 species
GACGAACGCUGGCGGCGUGCUUAACACAUGCAAGUCGAACGGAAAGGCCCUGCUUUUGUGGGGUGCUCGAGUGGCGAACGGGUGAGUAACACGUGAGUAACCUGCCCUUGACUUUGGGAUAACUUCAGGAAACUGGGGCUAAUACCGGAUAGGAGCUCCUGCUGCAUGGUGGGGGUUGGAAAGUUUCGGCGGUUGGGGAUGGACUCGCGGCUUAUCAGCUUGUUGGUGGGGUAGUGGCUUACCGAGGCUUUGACGGGUAGCCGGCCUGAGAGGGUGACCGGCAACAUUGGGACUGAGAUACGGCCCAGACUCCUACGGGAGGAAGCAGUGGGGAAUAUUGCACAAUGGGCGGAAGCCUGAUGCAGCAACGCCGCGUGCGGGAUGACGGCCUUCGGGUUGUAAACCGCUUUCGCCUGUGACGAAGCGUGAGUGACGGUAAUGGGUAAAGAAGCACCGGCUAACUACGUG